GAUGAACGCUGGCGGCGUGCCUAAUACAUGCAAGUAGAACGCUGAAGCUUGGUGCUUGCACCGAGCGGAUGAGUUGCGAACGGGUGAGUAACGCGUAGGUAACCUGCCUCUUAGCGGGGGAUAACUAUUGGAAACGAUAGCUAAUACCGCAUAAAAGUCGAUAUCGCAUGAUAUUGAUUUGAAAGGUGCAAUUGCAUCACUAAGAGAUGGACCUGCGUUGUAUUAGCUAGUUGGUGAGGUAACGGCUCACCAAGGCGACGAUACAUAGCCGACCUGAGAGGGUGAUCGGCCACACUGGGACUGAGACACGGCCCAGACUCCUACGGGAGGCAGCAGUAGGGAAUCUUCGGCAAUGGGGGCAACCCUGACCGAGCAACGCCGCGUGAGUGAAGAAGGUUUUCGGAUCGUAAAGCUCUGUUGUAAGAGAAGAACGAGUGUGAGGGGGGAAAGUUCACA
rnacentral:rRNA from 1 species